rnacentral:tRNA from 1 species
UGGCGUAUGGCAAAGUGGUAUCGCAUCUCACUGCAUCUCACUUGUAAUGAGAAGAUCGUUGCUGGUUCGAUCCCAGCAAUCCCAG